UUUAUAUGUGAAGUUCAAGCAUAUAUAAUUGAACUUUAGGCAUUUACACCCUAACUUCAGGUAUAUAUGACAGAACUUCAUGGAACUUCAGGCAUGUUAUGUCUCUCAAACAUCCUACUUACUUUACUGCAAAAUAUCAAAAACAUAAAUAAAGUUAGUCUUCACACCUUUUAAUGCUUUCAAGCUUUUUCAACAACAUUCACUUGAUUUAAACUCACUUUUUAUAUUUGAAAUUCAAGAUCAACUUCUUCGGGCUUGCAACAAUGGUAAUUUUAUAUGGUAUUUUAAUUUACUCCGGGAAUUAACUUAUAGAAGAACUGCUGGAAGAAGAAAAUAAGUUUUUCUAACAACACCCACUUAAAAUAAACUCACUUUUCAUAUUCAAAAUUUAAGACCCAUUUCUUCAAACUAGAUAUGAUUUAAUUCAUUCCAAGGUGAAAAUUGGCUACGGGUGCACAUAACUCAUCAUAUUGACCCAAAUAGGUCGGAUUCUUCAGUCUUGCUUCACCAAAUUUGCUAACAAAAUAAAUACUCUUACCCAUUCCAAAAUAAGAAGAGAUUCAGAAUGCGGCCAAGAAUAUUCCUAUUAAGAGAAGUUGUGCGAAUAUGAAUUUCGGCAGAACUUCUCCGUCUUUUCUCCCUCUCCCUUCUACCCUAUUCUUCUUUUCCUCUUUC
rnacentral:lncRNA from 1 species